rnacentral:ncRNA from 1 species
UUUCGGGGCGGGGUGCGAUUCCCCACCGGCGGUAAUGGGUUUUAGACCACAAGUCCGCGAGCGAAAGCAGAAACGGUGAGAUUCCGUUACCGACGGUACAGUCCGGAUAAAAGAAA